UACGUAGGGCGCGAGCGUGUCCGGAAUUAUUGGGCGUAAAGCGCGUGUAGGCGGCUUUGCAAGUCGGGUGUGAAAGCCCUCAGCUCAACUGAGGAAGUGCGCCCGAAACUGCAGAGCUUGAGUGCCGGAGAGGGUGGCGGAAUUCCCCAAGUAGAGGUGAAAUUCGUAGAUAUGGGGAGGAACACCGGUGGCGAAGGCGGCCACCUGGACGGUAACUGACGCUGAGACGCGAAAGCGUGGGGAGCAAACAGG
rnacentral:rRNA from 1 species